AUACGGAGGGUGCAAGCGUUACUCGGAAUCACUGGGCGUAAAGGAUGCGUAGGCGGAUAAUCAAGUCAAAAGUGAAAUCCUACAGCUUAACUGUAGAACUGCUUUCGAAACUGGUUAUCUAGAAUAUGGAAGAGGCAGAUGGAAUUAGUGGUGUAGGGGUAAAAUCCGUAGAGAUCACUAGGAAUACCGAUUGCGAAGGCGAUCUGCUGGGACAUUAUUGACGCUGAGGCAUGAAAGCGUGGGGAGCAAACAGGAUUAGAAACCCCUGUAGUCC
rnacentral:rRNA from 1 species